UUCCCAGUCACGAUAAGGUUGAAGAUCGGUAAAAUCAGUGUCGUGCGGAUCAAUUGUUCGAAUGGAAGUAAGAUACGGUGUGAGCAGGAUGAAGCUUGGGUAAAACCAAGUGGAGGUCCGCACCGGUGUACGUUGAAAAGUGCUCGGAUGACUUGUGGUUAGGGAUGAAACGUCUAACGAACUUGGCGAUAGCUGGCUCUCCCCGAAAUAUAUAUUGGUAUAGCCCUAAUCGUUAAAAGACUGUGUGAGGUAGAGAUACUGGAAAGGACUGGAGCGCGCGAGCGUAUCCAUCUUUACCAAACUCCGAAUGCGCACAGUUUGAUUGGGAGUCAGUACUGGAGAGCAAUUUUCUAGUACGAGAGGGAAACAGCCCAGACCAACAGCUAAGGUCCCUAAUACUAACUAAGUGGGUAAUGAGGUGGGAUUGUUGAAACAACUAGGAGGUUGGCUUAGAAGCAGCCACCCUUUAAAGAAAGCGUAACAGCUCACUAGUCAAACGAUCCUGCGCAGAAAAUCCAACGGGGCUAAGUUAGUAACCGAAGCUUUGGAUCCAUACUUUGUAUGGAUGGUAGGGGAGCGUUGAUAUCGGCAGUGAAGGUGUACCGUGAGGUAUGCUGGAGCGAUAUCAAGUGAGAAUGUCGGAUUGAGUAGCGAAAAAGGGGUGAGAACCCCCUUCACCGAAAGCCUAAGGGUUCCUCCACAAUGUCAGUCAUUGGAGGGUUAGUCUGGUCCUAAGACGAGGCCGAAAGGCGUAGCCGAUGGCUAGCUGGUUAAUAUUCCAGCACUACUUUAUGUUCGUUAUCAUCAAUGGAGGGACGGAGCAUGAUAGAUGGAGCUCAUUAAGGAUUUGAGUUCAGAAUGCAAGGCGUUUCCGCGUAGGCAAAUCCGCGCGGGAGUUAAGUCGAGCAGGUGAAAAAGGCGUAGAAAUACGUUCAUUCCAUCGAGUUAAGCUUCCUAGAAAAUCUUCUAGAGAGAACAUAAGGUACCAGUACCGUAAACCGACACAGGUGGGCAGGUAGAGUAUACCAAGGUGAACGAGUGAUUCGUGAUUGAGGAACUAGGCAAUUUACAUCCGUAACUUAGGGAAAAGGAUGCCCUUUGAAUUUAUUCAAAGGGGGCACAAAAAUGGCUCAAGCGACUGUUUAACAAAAACACAGGUCUUUGCUCAACGCGCAAGCGGAGGUAUAAGGGCCGACACUUGCCCAGUGCUCGUAAGUUAAUAUUGGGGGUUAUCCGUAAGGAGAAGCUCUCGGUUGAAGCUCGAGUGAACGGCAGCAGUAACUAUAACUGUUCUAUGGUAGCGUAAUCUCUUGUCGGGUAAGUUCCGACCCGCACGAAAAGUGUAACGACUUGAGCACUCUCUUGAUCACGAGCUCGGCGAAAUAGAAGUAUCCGUGAAGAUGCGGAUUACAUGGAGUUGGACAAAAAGACCCCGUGGAGCUUUACUAUAACCUGGCAUUGAUGAGCGAUAAAGACUAUGUAGUGUAGGAGGGAGCUUCGUAAGAAGCGUCGAUGAAACACCUCUUUUUCUUUGUUGCAAGUCUCACUAUGCACCGUAAUCCGGUGCGAGGACAAUGCUUGGUUGGUAGUUUGACUGGGGCGGUUUCCUGCUAAAAGGUAACGCAGGAGUUCUAAGGUACCCUUAGCACCGAUGGAAAUGGUGCUGUAAGCGUAAAGGUAUAUGGGUGCUUGACUGCAAGACUUACAAGUCGAGCAGGUGCGAAAGCAGGACUUAGUGAUCCUCCGUGGCCACAUGGGUGGCCCGGAGCUUAUCGGAUAAAAGUUACCCCGGGGAUAACAGGCUGAUCCUACCCGAGCGUUCAUAGCGGCGGUGGGGGUUGGCACCUCGA
rnacentral:rRNA from 1 species